rnacentral:rRNA from 1 species
AGUCGCACGAGAACGUCCCGACUUCGGUCGGGAAAGUACGGUGGCGGACGGGUGCGUAACGCGUAGACAACCUGCCUUCAGGCGUGGGAUAACCUCGGGAAACCGUGGCUAAUACCGCACGACGUCCAGCCCCCGCAUGGGGGCUGGAUGAAACCCCGACAGCCGUCGGGGGCCUGAAGAUGGGUCUGCGUCGGAUUAGCUCGUUGGUGAGGUAGCGGCUCACCAAGGUGACGAUCCGUAGCUGGUCUGAGAGGACGAUCAGUCACACUGGGACUGAGACACGGCCCAGACUCCUACGGGAGGCAGCAGUGGGGAAUCUUGCACAAUGGGGGCAACCCUGAUGCAGCCAUGCCGCGUGGAGGAAGACACCCCUAUGGGGCGUAAACUCCUUUUCUGGGGGAAGAAACCCCUGUUUUUCAGGGCGUGACGGUACCCCAGGAAUAAGCACCGGCUAACUCCGUGCCAGCAGCCGCGGUAAUACGGAGGGUGCAAGCGUUGUCCGGAAUCACUGGGCGUAAAGGGUGCGCAGGCGGAGCAGCAAGUCGGGGGUGGAAUCCUGCGGCUUAACCGCAGAAGUGCCCUCGAAACUGUUGCUCUUGAGGUCCGGAGAGGCUGCCGGAAUUCGUGGUGUAGCGGUGAAAUGCGU